ACAUUGCGCACGCCUGAGGCCCCGCCUACAGUCCCGCCCCCAGGCGCAAUGGGAAGGCCCUAAGCCCGGACAUUCGUCCCCGCCCCCAGGUACAGUGGGACGGCCUGAGGCUCGGUACCCUCCACCACGGCCGGCUCGGCUCCUCCAAUUCGCCGGACACCAACUCUCUUGGACAGCGCCUUCCACUGCCCAUUCUCCGACGUAGCUGGGUGGGGACCCCAACGGUGCUUGAAGCUUGGGGAGACUUCGAGCCCCCCAACUGGACAAUCCGGCAAAGGGGCAGUUUGCCAAAGGUGCCAUGAAGACUCGGAGAGGAUGCAAGGAAAUGCCCCUGCCUGCAACCCCAAACAUCUUCAGGAUGGAACCAAAGCCAUCAGCCCAGCAGGAGAGUGAUGUCCCAGCCCACCAGUCUGCAACUCCGAGCAGGAGGAGCCCCUGCACCACUCAAAUAUCCCAGCAGAGAGCAUUCUCUCCAGCAUAGGAGUGGAAGCAGCUCCCGCCAGACCUGCACCAGCUCACAGGAGGUUCAAGAUGGCAAGGACCCCACAGCUUCUGUUAAAGAGCUGUCAUCCCUCGGGCUGGAAAUACAGCUCAGCUGGCAGAGCGCUUGCCUCACAUGCACAAGGCCUUGGGUUCAAUCCCCAGCACCACAGAAGAAAAGAGAAAAAAGAGCUGUCAUCCCAUAACGAGCAUGACACCAUCCCCUCAUCCUUUCUGAAAAAUAAAUGACAUGUGAGCCUGUGGGGGCGCCAUCAGAGCAGAGGCUGCGCUGUGGGAUGUGCAGGCCUAGCGAUAUGGCAGCAACCUCCGGAGGAAUUGGGCAGCAGGAGCGCUAAACCCGAGCCUGUGGCAGGGGGUAGGUGUGACUGAUAUCCCUACAGUGGACACUUAGCCAUCAAACCCAGCGUGCCCCUCCAGAUGGCCUGAGGCCAGGGCUCCUCUCCGUUCUGUGGCUGAGAAGGGUCAGCCCAGCUGCAAAGUGUGGAAACAGGACAGGCGCUCCUGCGGCACUGAGGCCCCUCAUGGGUGCAGUGUCAGCUGAGCAUGCUUGCACCCUGCCCCCACAUAGCUGGGUGUUCUCUGGAGUCCUCUCUGCUCUCUCAGGAUUCUGGCAGCACCCAUGCUUUGGAGUGAGACGGGAACUUCCCCUGGGGGAGGCCCCAUGGUCCCCUGAAGGUGGCUAAUCAGGGCUCAGUUCCACCCAAACUGGCCAGAGCUGAGCAGCAGGGAGAAAAGGGUUCCCCUAGACUCACACACAGACCCCAAAACAUGAUCUCUCCCUAAACAAAGCACGCGAGAACCAGGAGCACCAGUAGGGAGGCAGCGCCCCCGUCUUGUUCCUGUGCUCUGUGCUGGGUGGAAGGUGUAUGUUGGGCCCCAAGGACGCCCCCAGGAUGGCACCCCAGAGGUGCACCAGGCAGCACCAUGUGCGUGGCACUGUGUACAGUGCAUAGCCAUUGCAGUUUAAAGAGCAUAUACUUCCCAAAUGCUCUGCAUGGGUCCCAGGCCUCCCAGGCAGAGCUGAGGGAGCCAGGGAAGCUAAGACAGGCCAGUUGAUGCCCCUGCCUUGGUCCCAGCUGCAAAAGGGCCUCACAGAGCCUUCAAGUGGAUCCUGGAGGCCAGGUGCACUGGCUCUGGUGCAUAAGCUGAGCCCCAGUUCGUGAAGACAGAGUCAGAUGAAGUUCCUGUGGACAGAAGGACGGUGGUGACGCCUGCAUGCCCAUGUGAACACACUUCAGGAUGAGGAUGAGCUGAGCAGUGUUGCUCACCUGCGGUCCCAGCACUCGGCAGGCUGAGGCAGGAGGCUCAGGAGCUUAGGGCCAGCAGAGGUGAUAAAUUUUAUGACAGUUUUACCACAACUUUAAAAAUGCAUAUGCUGAACUGAAAAUUCAGGAAGAACUAAGGUGUUCUUGGCUUAGAUGUGCAGAACCAGUUUUUAAAUUUUCAAACUUUAAUAAGUGACUCAUCAGAUCUCAGUUUGCCUAGGUGGACCUCUACUUAGUUCUCUGCACAGAGCCUGUCUCCUGGUCCCAGGAGGGCAUGUGGCAUGCACCAGAGUGGACACAAAGCCCUCACAGCUACCUGGGGCACAGUCCUUGCUCAGUACAUGGUGAUCACUACAAAAGGUGGGCAACAUGAGGCCACAGAGCCCAGUUCAUGUAGUCCAGCAGCCCCUUCCUGAGAAGAGCAGUUGGCAAGACCCCUAGGAGACCUGACUCCACCAUGAAACACCCCCUCAGCUCUUCACCUGAGGCUUCCUGUGCCCCAGGAGGAAACUGGCAUCUUUGGUCUCUAGUGCUUACCAUGGGGGUCAUCGCAUCCACCUACCCAUAUCCUAUCGGGAAAAAUUACCCCAGGGACAGAGAGCAGCAGGUGGUUGUCAGCCUGCAGGCCUAGGAUACUGUUUGGGACAUGCCAGACAGAGCUGCACCUCGGGGACCAGGCCAGGGCAAGCCAGGCUCUGCAGAGCCACUGACGCUGAGGCACCACAUGCACACAGCCACUUGGUAGAGCUCAGCCAUAAAGAGGUACUCAUCACAGAACUCAGAAAGAGCUGAGACACUGGUCCCAGCCAGGACGCUGCUCAUGACUGGCCUCCAGAAGGCACACCUUCCCUGGCCUUGGCCUCUCUGGCCUGCAUCUCAGGAUCUGGUCAGAGACUAGCCACCAGGGACAAGGAACAUGAAUACUCCUGGCAAGCCAAGAGGAAAGUCAGUACCAGGGGUAGCGGCCUCUCAGCCAGAAGGGGCCUCUAGGGUCCAAACUAACCCUUCCAGAGGCCCAUGGGGGCCGAAGAGGCUCCUUCCCCGGCCCCAGAGAAGCUUCCACUCACCUCUGUCCUGAGCUGCACUUGCUCAGUCCUCCACACAGACAGAGGUAGAACUUCCUUGUGGGUACCUCUCUCAAGGGUGGGCACCCCCUCCCCUGCUGCAUGCUGUGCCCAGAUGUCUCACAGUGGUCAGCUCAUCCAGCCUCACCUAAGCCUCUACCACCUGUGCCACCUAGGAGCACUGCCAGCCUGAAGACUGCUGGGUCACCCAGCCUGGCCAGAAGGAAGCUGGCAAGAGGAACAGGCCAGUGGCCAGUGGCGCUCUCCCUUGCAGCCAGCCCAGAACCCACAGCCCAGACCGGCCUCUCUAGUCCACCUGCUGCAGGCCAGGCCUCCACAGCUCCUCUGCCAAGUGUCACCGAAGGACACACAGGGAGAUGCCUCCUGCGCCCAGCUUUAGGGAGCUUUAGGGAUGGAGGAGACAGCAGUGCUGCCUCUUACUGAGGCUGAAUAUACAUGACACAAAAUGUA